AUAAUGAUACUUCUCUACGGAGUCGGCGGAGAACCCGGCGAAGGUCUAAUACCUAUGA
rnacentral:ncRNA from 1 species